rnacentral:tRNA from 1 species
AACAGUUUGGCCGAGUGGUCUAAGGCGCCAGAUUUAGGCUCCGGUCCGAAAGGGCGUGGGUUCAAAUCCCCCACAGCUA